UACAGAGGUCUCAAGCGUUGUUCGGAUUCAUUGGGCGUAAAGGGUGCGUAGGCGGCGCUGUAAGUCGGGUGUGAAAUCUCGGAGCUUAACUCCGAAACUGCAUUCGAUACUGCGGUGCUUGAGGACUGGAGAGGAGACUGGAAUUCAUGGUGUAGCAGUGAAAUGCGUAGAGAUCAUGAGGAAGACCAGUGGCGAAGGCGGGUCUCUGGACAGUUCCUGACACUGAGGCACGAAGACCAGGGGAGCAAACGGG
rnacentral:rRNA from 1 species